rnacentral:rRNA from 1 species
UACAGAGGGGGCAAGCGUUGUUCGGAAUUACUGGGCGUAAAGGGCGCGUAGGCGGCCUGUUAAGUCGGACGUGAAAUCCCUCGGCUCAACCGGGGAACUGCGUCUGAUACUGGCGGGCUUGAAUUCGGGAGAGGGAUGUGGAAUUCCAGGUGUAGCGGUGAAAUGCGUAGAUAUCUGGAGGAACACCAGCGGCGAAGGCGGCACUCUGGGCUGGUAUUGACGCUGAGGAGCGAAAGCAUGGGGAGCGAACAGG